GCUUACGGCCAUACCAGCCUGAAAACGCCCGAUCUCGUCAGAUUUCAGAAGCUAAGCAAGGUCGGGCCUGGUUAGUACUUGGAUGGGAGACUUCCUGGGAAUACCAGUUGCUGUAAGCA
rnacentral:rRNA from 1 species